GUGGACGCCAGUCUGCAUGGAGCCGACCUUGAAAUACCACCCUUUAAUGUUUGAUGUUCUAACGUGGACCCGUAAUCCGGGUUGCGGACAGUGUCUGGUGGGUAGUUUGACUGGGGCGGUCUCCUCCUAAAGAGUAACGGAGGAGCACGAAGGUUGGCUAAUCCUGGUCGGACAUCAGGAGGUUAGUGCAAUGGCAUAAGCCAGCUUGACUGCGAGCGUGACGGCGCGAGCAGGUGCGAAAGCAGGUCAUAGUGAUCCGGUGGUUCUGAAUGGAAGGGCCAUCGCUCAACGGAUAAAAGGUACUCCGGGGAUAACAGGCUGAUACCGCCCAAGAGUUCAUAUCGACGGCGGUGUUUGGCACCUCGAUGUCGGCUCAUCACAUCCUGGGGCUGAAGUAGGUCCCAAGGGUAUGGCUGUUCGCCAUUUAAAGUGGUACGCGAGCUGGGUUUAGAACGUCGUGAGACAGUUCGGUCCCUAUCUGCCGUGGGCGCUGGAGAACUGAGGGGGGCUGCUCCUAGUACGAGAGGACCGGAGUGGACGCAUCACUGGUGUUCGGGUUGUCAUGCCAAUGGCACUGCCCGGUAGCUAAAUGCGGAAGAGAUAAGUGCUGAAAGCAUCUAAGCACGAAACUUGCCCCGAGAUGAGUUCUCCCUGAGACUUAGAGUCUCCUGAAGGAACGUUGAAGACGACGACGUUGAUAGGCCGGGUGUGUAAGCGCAGCGAUGCGUUGAGCUAACCGGUACUAAUGAACCGUGAGGCUUAACCUUACA
rnacentral:rRNA from 2 species